AUGCGAGAUCCAUUCGAUGCCCCUGUUGAUUUCAUUGGCGCAGGUCAUCGUCCAGGGAAUGAGCUUACCAGCUUGUCUGUUAGGGACUAUGGCUUGCAAAAUGGUGAUGCUAAACCCUUCAUUCCGAACUCCGACACUCUAGUCAGGCAUCCGCUCCAGGGCGCAUCCCUCCGCAAUGACUUAAUUGCAGAAGAUCCUAAUACUCGUUUGAUGGAUCCUGAAACUAAGGAGCUUUACAUUAGAUCACGGACACAGGAAGAAGAGAUCCUGUUGCUUCGCAAACAAAUUGCUGAUGCAUCUCUCAAGGAGCUGCAGCUGCUGAGCGAAAAACAUAUUCUGGAGAGGAAGCUUUCAGACUUGAGGAUGGCUGUUGACGAGAGGCAGGAAGAUGCUAUAUCUGGUGCUUUGAAGCAACUGAAUGAGAAAAAAAACCACAUUGAAGAAAAUAUGAGAUUGGCAAAUGAACUAAAAGGUGAGGAAGAAGAGCUUUACUUGUUCACUUCUUCAUUGCUUGGUAUGUUAGCAGAAUACGAUGUUCGCCCACCUCAAAUAUAUCCUUCAACCAUUACAACGGUUACAAAGCGCUUGUACCAACAGAUGCAAUGGAAGAUCAGAUCGUUAAAUGACAGUUUAGGCGAUAUAAGUCAACCUGGAAACAUAUAUAAUCCCAAUCCUCAACAAGCAACUCCGUUGAGAAAUGACACUUCCUCAUCUUACAAUAUGGUUGCGAACAGGAACAAUUUCCCUCAGUAUGCUCAAGAUCCAAAUGAUCGACAUGCUGAGCAAAUGUACAAUGGAUCCACUUUUAAUCAGGAUAUGGUAGCUCCUACUCACUCUAAUUAUUUUGAAGAAAAUCCUGGUCCUAGAGAAGCAAGAUUAGAUGAUGACUCACAGUUCUAUAGGAAUGAUACUCAAGAGUACUCAGCUGAUGGUGAUCCAUUACCUGGUAUUGAGGGAUUUCAAAUUGUCGGCGAUCCUAGGCCAGGAUCUACUUUAAGAGCAUGUGGUUUCCCUACAAAUGGUACUACACUUUGUAAUUUCCAGUGGGUUCGCUGUCAUGAAGAUGGCACCAGGUAUUCUAUUGAAGGUGCUACGAUGUAUGACUAUGUGGUUACUGCAGAUGAUGUUGGCACUCUUCUUGCUGUAGACUGCACUCCUAUGGAUGAUAGUGGCCGCCAGGGUGAUUUGGUGAGGGAGUUUGCUAACAAUGAGAACAAGAUAACUUGUGAUCAAGAAAUGCAGAAUGACAUCAAUAUAUGUAUUUCAAGGGGGAGAGCCGACUUUGAUGUUUAUGUCCUGCAGGGGUAUUCUCCUGAAGAAUGGGAACAUGCCACGUUGGUCCUUAGACGAACCGGAUAUCAAAUAAACUUCAGCCACAAGGAUGAAGCUGUAAUUGACGAGAAAUAUUCACCAAAUCUACAGACGAAAAUUCCCAAUGGACGAACUACUCAAUUUGUUUUAGUAAGUUCUGGUGGUGUAAAUCUACCAUUUAAUACACAGGGAAUAACGGAGCCCAAUAAUGAGGAUAACGACGUUAGGCUACGCGAUCUAAUCGUAUUGGUCAUGCGAACUUUCCAGAAUAAGGCAUUAGAUGCUAAAAGGAAAGGCAAGGCUUAG
rnacentral:rRNA from 1 species